UCCAGGCAAAUCCGGAUAAUCAAGGCUGAGGUGUGAUGACGAGGCACUACGGUGCUGAAGUAACAAAUGCCCUGCUUCCAGGAAAAGCCUCUAAGCAUCAGGUAACAUUAAAUCGUACCCCAAACCGACACAGGUGGUCAGGUAGAGAAUACCAAGGCGCUUGAGAGAACUCGGGUGAAGGAACUAGGCAAAAUGGUGCCGUAACUUCGGGAGAAGGCACGCUGGUGUGUAGGUGAAGUCCCUGCGGAUGGAGCUGAGACCAGUCGAAGAUACCAGCUGGCUGCAACUGUUUAUUAAAAACACAGCACUGUGCAAACACGAAAGUGGACGUAUACGGUGUGACGCCUGCCCGGUGCCGGAAGGUUAAUUGAUGGGGUUAUCCGUAAGGAGAAGCUCUUGAUCGAAGCCCCGGUAAACGGCGGCCGUAACUAUAACGGUCCUAAGGUAGCGAAAUUCCUUGUCGGGUAAGUUCCGACCUGCACGAAUGGCGUAAUGAUGGCCAGGCUGUCUCCACCCGAGACUCAGUGAAAUUGAACUCGCUGUGAAGAUGCAGUGUACCCGCGGCAAGACGGAAAGACCCCGUGAACCUUUACUAUAGCUUGACACUGAACAUUGAGCCUUGAUGUGUAGGAUAGGUGGGAGGCUUUGAAGCGUGGACGCCAGUCUGCGUGGAGCCAACCUUGAAAUACCACCCUUUAAUGUUUGAUGUUCUAACGUUGGCCCCUUAUCGGGGUUGCGGACAGUGUCUGGUGGGUAGUUUGACUGGGGCGGUCUCCUCCCAAAGCGUAACGGAGGAGCACGAAGGUUAGCUAAUCCUGGUCGGACAUCAGGAGGUUAGUGCAAUGGCAUAAGCUAGCUUGACUGCGAGCGUGACGGCGCGAGCAGGUGCGAAAGCAGGUCAUAGUGAUCCGGUGGUUCUGAAUGGAAGGGCCAUCGCUCAACGGAUAAAAGGUACUCCGGGGAUAACAGGCUGAUACCGCCCAAGAGUUCAUAUCGACGGCGGUGUUUGGCACCUCGAUGUCGGCUCAUCACAUCCUGGGGCUGAAGUAGGUCCCAAGGGUAUGGCUGUUCGCCAUUUAAAGUGGUACGCGAGCUGGGUUUAGAACGUCGUGAGACAGUUCGGUCCCUAUCUGCCGUGGGCGCUGGAGAAUUGAGGGGGGCUGCUCCUAGUACGAGAGGACCGGAGUGGACGCAUCACUGGUGUUCGGGUUGUCAUGCCAAUGGCACUGCCCGGUAGCUAAAUGCGGAAGAGAUAAGUGCUGAAAGCAUCUAAGCACGAAACUUGCCCCGAGAUGAGUUCUCCCUGAGACUUUAAGUCUCCUGAAGGAACGUUAAAGACGAUGACGUUGAUAGGCCGGGUGUGUAAGCGCAGCGAUGCGUUGAGCUAACCGGUACUAAUGAACCGUGAGGCUUAACCUU
rnacentral:rRNA from 1 species